rnacentral:rRNA from 1 species
UACGUAGGGUGCAGGCGUUAAUCGGAAUUACUGGGCGUAAAGCGUGCGCAGGCGGUUUGCUAAGACAGGUGUGAAAUCCCCGGGCUUAACCUGGGAACUGCGCUUGUUACUGGCAAGCUGGAGUGUGGCAGAGGGGGGUGGAAUUCCACGUGUAGCAGUGAAAUGCGUAGAGAUGUGGAGGAACACCGAUGGCGAAGGCAGCCCCCUGGGCUGACACUGACGCUCAUGCACGAAAGCGUGGGGAGCAAACAGG